UAAUGUAGCACAACUGUGGAUACAGAUCAGACUAUGGAAGAAACAGGGAUGGGCGUAUCUUUGCCAGAUAACCUUGUCUUGGCAAUGAUGGGUAAUUAAAUUGAUUUGGAACAUUCCAAUUCUGUAAAAUAUUUUCAUGAUGUGACUAUAGGCUGGAAAUCUAGCUUUCAAUUGCACUGAUGUUAACACAAAAUUCCCUUAGUAGUCAACAAAUUUUGUCAUGGAAUGUGUGUCUAUAGAAUUUUCAUAAAGCUCUUGUUCUCUGUUAUAGAUUUUUGGUAAAAAAGAGUUUAAACAACUGUAAAAGGUUAUGUCCAGGGAUUGUGUGCUUUAAAGAGGUUGUCCAACUGUGAAAAACUCUAAGGGGCAGAAGAACGUAAAAAAGUAAAGAAAGAAUACUAAUCUGACUGGUCUCACUAGUCACUCCCAUUUGGAGACCUUCUGAGUCUCCCCAGUGGUCUCUACUUUCUGUUCCCUCUUGAGACAAGAAAUGUGAUCUUCCAGCCAGCCACCAACUGAGCCUGUGCUUUCUUGUAUCGAGAGGGUCCAAGAAAUAGGGACCAGCAAGUGACCCAGGAAACACUGGAGGAAACACUGGAAAGAGCAGUGAAGAAUCAGUGAGAAUUUUUUCAUUUUGUUUAUUUUAUUUUCCAAUUGAACAACACUUUUAAGGUACCUUAACUGUUUGGAAUGUUCAUAGAGAAUGUUCAUAGAGAAUAUAAUGGUGUUAUAUUAUUGCUGUAUUCUCUGAGAAUGUAAAAACAUAUUUUAAAGGGGUUUCUCACUUUCUGAUCAGUAGGGGUCUUACUCAUAAU